CAGUGUAUUGUACUAGAGGUUAAGGUCAUUGAAGGUCAUGGGACAACUAUUGACGUUUUACUAGUCAAUGGAGUGCUUCAUGAAGGAGAUCAAAUUCUUGUUUAUGGCAUGAAAGGACCAAUUGUUGCUAGCAUUCGAGCAUUGUUAACACCCCAUCCCAUGAAAGAGCUCCGUGUCAAGGGAACCUAUCUACAUCACAAGGAAAUCAAGGCUGCACAGGGUAUAAAGAUCACAGCACAGGGUAUAAAGAUCACAGCACAGAUGAUUAUUCUUGCUAAUCCUCCAUGCUUUUUAAGCCCUAAGCUCUUUGGAAUUGAACUGGUUACUGAUGAGGUCCACAUCUGAAUUGAGAUUUCUUAAUUUUCUAAUAAAUGUUUUAUGCUGGGCCUUGAGCAUGCUAUUGCUGGUACUGGUCUAUAUGUGGUGGGCCUUAAUGAUGACUUGGAAGAUAUCAAGGAAACAACUAUGGAGGAUAUGAAGUCUGUCAUGAGCAGGGUCGACAAGAGUGGUGAAGGAGUUUGUGUGCAAGCAUCUACUCUUGGUUCCUUGGAAGCAUUGCUGGAGUUUCUUAAAACCCCAUAAGUAAAUAUUCAUGUUAGUGGUAUAAGCAUAGGCCAUGUACACAAGAAAGAUGUCAUGAAGGCUAGUGUGAUGCUAGAAAAGAAAAAGGAGUUUGCGAGAAUUUUAGCUUUUGCGUCAGAAGGUGGCCAUUAAGUAUAAUAUAUUUUGAGUUGUGCGAUAGAGAGAUAUCACACUUUUUUGGUUUCAUUGAGCCAUCAUAGUCAUCGAGAAUUGGAGCAAAUAUGGAUAAUCAGGCUGAAAUUAUCUCAGAGUGUAUCAAUUACGCAGUGAUGGGUCAAACUUGGUUAAUGCCAUACCAUUUUUUUGAUCAUUGAUCCAGAUUACCAUACAUUUUACUAUCUUGAUCCACUUAAAAAUCUCCUCCAAAUGAUUUUAAGAACCUUAUGAACAGUGUCUCUUCACACAUCAAGCGAAAGACAAGAAGGAAUGAAAAAAAUUACAAGUGGAAAAUAGUCAAUUGUCCUCGUCAAACAUCAUCAGUAGAGUGCGACUUUUAUAUCAUAAGGAUUAUGAAGGACUAUUGCUUGAAUGAGACGCCCAUGCGAUGACUAACUAGUAAUUGUGCUGGGAAGAAUACAUAUACACUUGGCGAAAUUAAUGAAACUCGAAAUGAAUGGGCAACCAAGCUUCUUGAGCGGAUGAGUCAUAGCUAGAGUAACUUUUGAAAUCAGAAUUAAAAAAAUAUACUAAUUGUAAUUUUUAGUUAGCACUUACAUAGUUAUUGCAAGUAUAUUUUGAUCUUGUAAUUUUUAGAUUUGGAACAUACAAAGUUCUAUUGAUUUGUCUGCCUACUGAUUCUGACUGAA